UUGGGGGGAUUUGGGGGUGUUCUGGGGGGUUUGGGGCAAGUUUUGGGGGGGUUUGGGGGUUUUGUUUGAGGUUUUGGGGAGGAUGUGCGGGGGGUCGGGGGAGUUUUGGGAGGAUUUGAGGUUUUAGGUGGGAUUUGGGGAGGUUUUGGGGGGGCUUUGCGUUUGGCGAGGAUUUGGGGGGGUUGGGGGAGUUUUGGGGAGGAUUUGGGGAUUUUUUUGGGGAGUUUUGGGGAGGAUUUGGGGGGGUUGGGGGAGUUCUGGGGGAUUUGGGGAUGUUCGGGGGAUUUUGGGGUGUUUUUGGGGCUGUUUUGGAGCAGUUUUGGGGCAGGUUUUGGGGUGUUUUUGGGGCUGUUUUGGGGCAGGUUUUGGUGUGGUUUUGGGGCAGUUUUUGGGGCUGGUUUGGGGCAGGUUUUGGUGGUUUUGGGGCAGUUUUGGGGUGUGUUUUUGGGGUUGUUUUGGGGCAGUUUUGGGUCAGGUUUUGGUGUGGUUUUGGGGCAGGUUUGGGGCAGGUUUUGGUGGUUUUUUGGGGUUUUUUUGGGGGCAGGUUUUGGUGUGUGUUGGGGAUUGUUUUGGUGUGGUUUUGGGGUUGUUUUGGGGUUGUUUUGGGGUGGUUUUGGUGUGGUUUUGGGGUUAUAUUGGGGUAGUUUUGGUUUUGUUUUUGGGGCAGUUUUGGGGUAUUUUGGGGUUGUUUUGGGGUCCCUGUGUCCCCUUUUCCUUGACUG